UACGGGGGGGGCAAGCGUUGUUCGGAAUUACUGGGCGUAAAGGGCUCGUAGGUGGCCAACUAAGUCAGACGUGAAAUCCCUCGGCUUAACCGGGGAACUGCGUCUGAUACUGGAUGGCUUGAGAUUGGGAGAGGGAUGCGGAAUUCCAGGUGUAGCGGUGAAAUGCGUAGAUAUCUGGAGGAACACCGGUGGCGAAGGCGGCAUCCUGGACCAACACUGACACUGAGGAGCGAAAGCCAGGGGAGCAAACGGG
rnacentral:rRNA from 1 species